rnacentral:tRNA from 1 species
CAAAACGUAGCUUAAAUAAAGCAUCUAGCUUACACCUAGAAGACUUCAAUUCAAAUGAACGCUUUGA